rnacentral:rRNA from 1 species
AGUGAACGCUGGCGGUAGGCCUAACACAUGCAAGUCGAACGGCAGCACAGUAAGAGCUUGCUCUUACGGGUGGCGAGUGGCGGACGGGUGAGGAAUACAUCGGAAUCUACUUUUUCGUGGGGGAUAACGUAGGGAAACUUACGCUAAUACCGCAUACGACCUACGGGUGAAAGCAGGGGAUCUUCGGACCUUGCGCGAUUGAAUGAGCCGAUGUCGGAUUAGCUAGUUGGCGGGGUAAAGGCCCACCAAGGCGACGAUCCGUAGCUGGUCUGAGAGGAUGAUCAGCCACACUGGAACUGAGACACGGUCCAGACUCCUACGGGAGGCAGCAGUGGGGAAUAUUGGACAAUGGGCGCAAGCCUGGUCCAGCCAUACCGCGUGGGUGAAGAAGGCCUUCGGGUUGUAAAGCCCUUUUUUUGGGAAAGAAAAGCAGCAGGUUAAUACCCCGCUGUUCUGACGGUACCCAAAGAAUAAGCACCGGCUAACUUCGUG